rnacentral:lncRNA from 1 species
GGCACUUGCAUUUCCAAAUAUGCCUGCUUGUGACACUUCACCAUCAAAAUCAUUAUGAGAAAGAUUCAGAUGCUUGAGAAAUAAAAUCUUGCUGAGAAACUCGGGAAUUUGCCCAGACAGGUUGUUGCGCGAAAGAUCUAUUUCUUCUAGACCUCUUAAAGACUUCAAAGAUAAAGGAAUUGUUCCUUCAAAUGCAUUACCUUCCAAAUACAGGCGUUCUAAACUAAUACAACUAGCAAGGCUGCUAGGAAUCUCACCUGAAAGUCUGUUCUCUGCUAGGUCUAACUCCACAAGAUUGUCCAGGUUAACAACUUCAACUGGAAUUGAGCCGCUCAAAGAGUUGUUAGACAUGGACAAAGCAAUUGUAAGGGAAGAAAGAGCCAGAAUCUCUCUAGGUAUGGUGCCACUGAGAUUAUUACUAGAAAAAUUUAGUACUAGCAAAUUUUGGCAGUUUCCCAGGCUUGGAGGUAUGCUUCCCUCAAAUCUAUUCUCUUCCAUAAAAAGCCUUAUUAAUGCAGUUAAAUUUCCAAGUGAAAAUGGCAUUGAUCCUGAAAAUCUAUUAUAAUUCAGAUGCAGUCCCUCUAAGUUUUGAAGCUUCCCAAGAACAUCAGGUAAGGUACCUUCUAAUUGGUUACCUUCCAUUCCUAGAGAGUACAAAUUAACAAGGUUUCCAAUGCCAAUAGGGAUGGUUCCAUUAAUCAGAUUCCUUCCUAUGGUAAAACUUUUCAACUUGUCUGAAAGGUUGGCUAUGGAGCUAGGCAGUUCUCCUCCAAAAAGAUUCCCAGCAAGACCUAAUACUCCUAGGGUAGAAAUAUUAGUCAAGGAAUCGAAAAAGCUUAGGUCACCAAUUUUCCCAGUUCCAAGUUUGUUUUCAUCAAAAUUUAGUCUAAUCAAAUGUCCAAGAUUUCCAAGAUUUCGAGGAAUGGUCCCAGUCAGACCAUUUCCUUGAAAGUCAAUUAUCUGAAGUCUAGAAGCAUUUGACAAUGAGACAGGGAUAGUUCCUGUAAAAUUGUUAACACCACCAGCAAAUAUUUCUAGAUUAGGAAGAGUGAGGCCAACAUCUGGUGGUAGAUGUCCCUGCAACUGGUUUUGAGUGACAGAAAAGUAGUAUAUAGAGGAAAUAUUAUAAAUUGAAGGAGGGAUAAUACCAGAUAGAUAAUUUCCAUAAAGAUGAAAAACUCCCAAGCCUGAUAGCUGGCCAAGUUCAUCAGGUAUGGUUCCUUGUAAAUUAUUCUGUGCUAGUGAAAGAGCAUGAAGAGAAGAAAAAUUACCUAUCCAAGUUGGGAUUGUUCCUGUAAGGUUGUUAGCUUGUAGCAGCAGAAAUUCCAACUUCGAUAAUGAAGCAAGCUGGUCUGGAAUUUGCCCAAUUAACCCAUUGAAAGCAAGACGAAUUAUUACAAGUUCUGUACAAUGAGUUAGAUUAGUAGGAAUUUGCCCGCCAAAGGAAUUGUAUGUCAAAUUGAGAUGCUGCAGGCGCAACAGACGACCGAUUUCUUGAGGAAUUUCACCACGGAAGUUAUUGUUUACCAGGUUGAUUCUGGUGAGGGAUGUAAGGUUUCCUAUGGAAGGUGGUAGGGAGCCAACUAACUUUUGAUCCUCCAGGUUCAGAAUUACCACUCUUCCAUUCGAUGGGCUGCAAGUGACGCCAACCCAGCUGCAAAAAUGAACAGAAUUGUUCCAUGAGUCCAUGACAUGACGAGGAUCUUGAGUUACCCGAUUUUUGAAAUCAAGCAAAGCUAAUCGAUCAGAUUCAUUUGCAAAAGCAGGUAUCAUUGCAGAUUCCGAACACGAACUCAUCCACAAAAGUAAAAUCCCCUGAAAGAACAAACAAGUAAGCUUCAUGCUUACUCCUAGAAAAAAAUCAAAAUUAAGAACCUAAUGCCAUAUAUCAAAUUACGUAAAAGAGAAACAAAUAGAGAUAGAACUCAUUGGAGGACCACACUAUCCUGAAAAUAUCCAGAGAUUUGAAAGUUCAUCAACCGAGAUGGUACAAGAUUAUUAAAAUGAUUAAACCUCUUUCUGUUUUGACUUUUGGUGCAAGUGAGUCAUCUUGCAUACUUACUCGUGGAAAAUCUUCACUGGAACGAGACCAGCCGAUGACAAGUUCAAGGAUGGCCUAAACCUCCAUAUCUUUGCUCAAGAUUGGCUAAUACUCCGGACAGGGUAAUUGAAGUGGCUGUUCCCACAAUCCUGGAAGACGUACGCAUGCACUUAAAGUUCAAGAUAUCGACCAGGCAAGCUCAAGAAGUAACAUUCUAAAAGAAAAGCAUGAAGAUGAAAGAUGUUAUCAGAAUAUUGCAAGAAACUGUUCAUCAAAGCAUGAACAUCGCUGAUGUCAGGUUGUUGAAAAAAUCUCUAUAUAUAUAUAUAUAUAUAUAUAUAUAAGCUGGUCAAGAGUCAUGUUGACAAUCAUAUCACAGGAUAGCUGCUUUUCCAUCGUAUUAGACUUNCUAUAUAUAUAUAUAUAUAUAUAUAUAUAAGCUGGUCAAGAGUCAUGUUGACAAUCAUAUCACAGGAUAGCUGCUUUUCCAUCGUAUUAGACUUUUGUGUUUUCGUGCAGUAAAUGUGUCAGAUACGAUUAGAUACGAAACACGUUAUAAUUAUAAAUAAGAUAUUAUUUAAUAUUUAUAUUUUAAAUUUAAAAUAUGUACACGUAUACGUUUAAUAAAUUUAUAAUAUGACACAAUACAAUUAACACACUUAUUAAAUGUAUCAAUAUACGACACGAUUAAUAACACGUUUAACACAAUUAAAUAAAAAUAUUUAUAAUUAAAUAUAAUUUUAUUAUUUAGAUUUAAAAUCUAUAAUUAUAAAAAUAAUUAUAAUAAAAUAAAAAUAAUAAUAACAUCAAAUAUAAUAAAAUUUAAUAUAAAUAACAUAUAUAAAAUUCAUUAUCAUAUAAUAUAAUAAAAUACAUAAUUAACAUCUAACCUUCAAAUACUAAUAAUAUAAAAAAUCAUUCAUAAUUUUCAAUUGUAAUAAUUACAUUAUUAUUUUUAUAAAAUUAAAAAAACUUAUUAAAAUAAUUAUUUAAAAUUAUUUAUAUAAGAUUAAAAUAAUAUUUAACUAUUAAUUUUUAAUAAGUUAAUAAACAUGUCACUUAUACACGUUUAAACACGAUAUCACGAUAAUGUAAACGUGUUUUAAACGUAUUUGUCAUGUCUAACACGUUAUGACAUCAAAAUUUUCGUAUUUUAACGUGUCAGAUAUGAUUAGAUACGAAACACGUUAAAAUUUAAUUCAAAACCUGUUUAAUUCAUGUCUUCUCGUAUUGUGUUAACGUAUCGCAUUCAAAAUUAUCACAUCUACAUCAUAUUCACUACAACAAAAGAUCAAAAUUUUUAAACAGUGAGAUAUUGACGCUUCUAUUUGGAAAACUAUAUGCAAUUUUUUCACGGUUUCCUCCUAGAACACGAAGUUGGACUUUAUUUUAGUAGGUAAUUACUUGGGUAUUAUUUGAUUAGGUGUGGCAUCUUUUUAUGGGCUGCUUGAAGUUUGCUGCAGAGAAAGAGAACUUGCUGCGCACAAAGGUUUACUUGUCAAAGUUGAUACACAAUAUUUUGGUCAUAUAAAGCCUGUUUACUCAUAAAAUAAUCCAAGCCCAUGUACCAAUUAUUCGUCUCAUUCAAUUCCCAAAAGGAAAACAAAGGAAAAAAAGAGACAAAAAUUUAUUGUAAGGUGAGUUAGCGCCAUUCAAUUUUGUUUUUCUCUUUAAAUUAAUUUAAACCUAACAGUUUGGUUGAUGGUACAGUGUGGGCUCAACGUGCUCAAAUAAGCAGCUAUAGAUAGGAUGAACAAUAGUACUUCAGCACCAAUCAGGAGGCCAAAGAAUGCAUGCAUAAAUUGCAGCAUCAGUUUGAAGAUUCCAUCUUAUCUGUCCACACUUGAACCUCAAUUGACAAGUUGACAUUCAGCAUUUCCCUUCCUAUUUUUAGGCACUUAAUACUUUUAUUUUUAUUUUUACAAAUUAGCAUUAAUAGGGAUGGAAAGAGUAAUUAAAUUUACAGAGUAAGAGCUUGAAUCAAGAUAUGUUUUCAUUGUUGUUUUUUUUUUUUUUGAAAUUUCAUUUGUAUUGAAGAAAGGGAGAACCUGAGUUCACCACUUACAACAAAUUUUCAAGGUUAUUUCCCAACAACCAGGGGUAUACCAUUACAAAAUUCUCUCCUUGUCGAAUUCCCUGUACACUUUCAGAAAGGAAACCACCCUAAACACCCACAGCGAAACCAGCCAACCCCACUAACUCUGGUUAGCCACUUGCACCCAAAAAGCACCCUCAGACAAUGAACAAAAUGAAAAGAGGACACCUAACAGUAAAACAGUCCCCUGCAUCAACAGACACCACAAUAAUCAUGCAAAGAAAGACCAACCAAUGCACUACCAUUACCUAUCAACCGUAUAGGGAUGCCCCAUCUUGAGCAACGCCAUCAUAAUCAUCAUUGCAAGAGGAGCAGACCUACUCAAACUCACGGUUCACAGUUCAUUUGCGGUUGAUUGCCACAUCUCUUGUUCUCUCUUCUCUGUUAGGUUCAUCCGCCCAAAUAUUAAGCAGAUCAAUCUCCCUACCUAUUCCAGAUUUUGCAAGUUUAUCAGCGUGUUGGUUGCCCUCCCUUCUUACAUGCUUGAUAGCCCAUGUUUUCAUUGUUGUUAAUAGAUAAUUAGUUUAUUAUCGGGCCAUGAUCCAUGAGAGAAUGAAACUUGAUGAUAUUAUCAAAGAAUUGCUGCUGGUCAGAGGUCUUCUUUUUGAAUCGGCUAUGACACAAAGAUGAGACACCAUUUAGAAAUGAAAUUCUUCUAUUCUAGAUUUAUGAUCCCAUGUUUAGACUUUGAAAUCUCUGAGACUGUUACAGUUCUGAUGCAAGGGUCUGGGAUUUGUAAAUGGAAUUGGAAACUAGUUCAGACCCUUAGCUCAAGAUCCAAACCACCAACAAUAAGAAUAUAAGUGUAAAGAAAAACCCACAGCAGAUUAUCAUAUUUUGGAGUUCAAGACAGGAUCCUACUCCCAGGUAAUCAAAUUUACCUUAAACCUUGUUCUUUUUUACCCAAGAAAAAAAAACAUAUGUCCCAAAGCAGAGAUUGUCUGAUAUCAUUGUCCGAAAGUAUUAGAGAAUACAUAAAAGUCAAUAAUUGCCAAAAAUCUAUGAACUUGGUUGCACUUUGUAGAGUAAAGACAUUGUUGUUUUUCAAUUACUUCUGCAAUUUCAAUCCAAGGAACAUUGUUAAACUUUUCCAAAGACAAUAUUUGCUAAGAUAAAAGUUACAUUUUGCUGAGAGAAGAAAAAUACAAAAUGAAGAAGAUAGGUGCUGCACACAGUUCAAUUUAAUUGGAACAUAUAUAUAGUUUAAUACAAACUGCUGAAAGGAAGUUAUCCUAUUGGUGGAAACUAACUACCUGGUCAUUCUACUGCUACAAACGUGUUCAGCAGUUGGCAAUGUGUGGGAUAAAGUCACUAAUCCACAAUGCAAGGUGGAUAAACUACAACUCCUAUACAACUGCUAAAGGAAACUAACUAAAAAACAAACACUAGAGACAUGAAAUGGAAGGCAACUUAAAAGUCUGGAAAUAGAUACAACUUAAACACGACAUAAAAGGUCAUGUGAAUCAGUAGCACGUGAUUGUCUUCUCCUCCACUCUCUUGGCGGCAAAUUCUAUGAACACUGGUAACCAAGCUCUGUGCAGAAUCAAAAACCAGAUAUUUCAACUAACGCGGCUUUGAUAUCAAGCAAGUUGUUCACAACAACAGUCAUAGUCAUCCGCUCACUUGGCAAUGUUGCAGCACAGGAGAGUCCGAUUUUCAUCAUUGAAACCAAACAUUCUUCUCUUCUCCUUAUGGAACUUACAUGAGAAUCCUGGUUUUUAAUUAAUGCCCUCUCUUCUACAUAAUCUUCUCUGUUUCCUCUGACCUUCUUGUGAACAUUUUCUUCUUCAAAAAGCAUUGAUCUGUCAACGAUGUCCAUGACAUGUCCAGGCAAAGCCCUGUCAACGAACUCACAAAUUCCGAGAUCAUCUUCAAAGCUGUCAUCAGUUGGUCUUUUGCCUGUAAGCAUCUCCAGUAACAGAAUUCCAUAACUGUAGGUAUCUCCAUGUAUGGAAACUUGGCCACCCAUGCCAUAUUCUGCAACUUGUAAUGGACCACAAUUAGCCAUCUUUGUAUUUAUAUACCAACAAACAUAUUUCAAUGCAGUAAAUUGUUUUAAGUUGUUUGAAGGUUGAAAAUUAAAAAUUUUCAACUACUUUUGCCUAUGAUUACCUGAUUUAUUCCUAUAGAAAUUGUUAAUUAUGAGGUAACAGUGAUCCAUCAACAUGAAAAUCAUACCUGGAGGAAUGUACCCCAUGGAACCCUUUAGCCUGACUGACAUAGUCUGACUCCUGGAGGCAUUACUUGAUGAAUCAAAGAUGAACCUUGCCAGUCCAAAGUCACCAACAUGUGCAGUAAUAUUUUCAUCAAGGAGUACAUUGCUUGGCUUUAGAUCGCAAUGAACAAUGGGUGUGACACAAUGGUGAUGAAGAUAAUCCAAAGCAGAAGCAAUAUCGAUGGCUAUAUUCAGUCUCUGGAUAAGGCUCAAUCUCAUGCUUUGGUACUGGUCAUUACCUCCAGGAUGCAGCCACUGAUCUAGAUUUCCAUUAGGCAUAAACUCAAAUACAAGAGCUUUGAAGUCAUUUCCUUGAUGAUCAACAGUAGAGCAAGCGGUUAUGAUCUUGAGGAGGUUGCGGUGUCGCACACUUCUCAAAGCAUUGCAUUCAUCAAUGAAACUCCUAGAUGCUCCUUGCUGUUGAAGGUUUAAUACCUUAAUCGCAACAACUGUUUCGUCUCUGGAUAUAGUUCCUUUAUAUACCGAACCAAAACUACCUGAACCAAUCAAAUUUUCUUCAGAGAAGCCAUCAGUUGCUUUUACAAUAUCUGAGUAAGACAUACAUAAUUGCCAUUCCUUCGAGAAUGAUGCAUUGGAUUGAUUCCCCGAGUUUCUUACUCGAUGAUAUGAAGCAUAGGAACAGAGAAGAAGAACAACAAAUAUGACUGCACCAGUUACUGGGAUCACCACCUUGGGGGCAAGACGUCUUCCAGGACUUUUUCUGGUGCAUGUGGGUAAAUGUAAAUCCUGGACACCACCACAGAGCUUAUUGUUUCCAACUACAGAAAAGGCACUUGCAUUUCCAAAUAUGCCUGCUUGUGACACUNUUUUCAACUACAGAAAAGGCACUUGCAUUUCCAAAUAUGCCUGCUUGUGACACUUCACCAUCAAAAUCAUUAUGAGAAAGAUUCAGAUGCUUGAGAAAUAAAAUCUUGCUGAGAAACUCGGGAAUUUGCCCAGACAGGUUGUUGCGCGAAAGAUCUAUUUCUUCUAGACCUCUUAAAGACUUCAAAGAUAAAGGAAUUGUUCCUUCAAAUGCAUUACCUUCCAAAUACAGGCGUUCUAAACUAAUACAACUAGCAAGGCUGCUAGGAAUCUCACCUGAAAGU